UACGGAGGGGGCUAGCGUUGUUCGGAAUUACUGGGCGUAAAGCGCACGUAGGCGGCUUUGUAAGUUAGAGGUGAAAGCCCGGGGCUCAACUCCGGAAUUGCCUUUAAGACUGCAUCGCUAGAAUUGUGGAGAGGUAAGUGGAAUUCCGAGUGUAGAGGUGAAAAUUCGUAGAUAUUCGGAAGAAACACCAGUGGCGAAGGCGACUUACUGGACACAUAUUGACGCUGAGGUGCGAAAGCGUGGGGAGCAAACAGG
rnacentral:rRNA from 1 species